UAGAUUUUUUUUUUGGCCAAAGUUUAUUUUGUCUUGGUUCCUUCACGCGGGUUCUGACAGAGUAAGACGCGGGUUCUGACAGAGUAAGAAAAGAGAGAGAAAUAGUUGAUUCAGUGGCGGGUGCCAUGGGUUUUAUUUUGUCUUGGUUCCUUCACGCGGGUUCUGACAGAGUAAGAAAAGAGAGAGAAAUAGUUGAUUCGGUGGCGGGUGCCAUGGGUUUUAUUUUGUCUUGGUUCCUUCACGCGGGUUCUGACAGAGUAAGACGCGGGUUCUGACAGAGUAAGAAAAGAGAGAGAAAUAGUUGAUUCGGUGGCGGGUGCCAUGGGUUUGAAUGACUUGCCUUUAUAUAUGAUAUAUACAUAUAUAUUGUGUUGUGUGCUGAAAGUGGCUGGAAAGAGAAGUUUAAAAGAAAAUGAAGAAAAGAAAGGUGAGUGGGAGCGGGACCUACAAAAUUGAUUUUUUUUUUUUGAAGUCCGCAGUUUUGCUUAUAAAUUGAGGGUGGUAUGUGAUACAAAGACGGAAGAGAAAAGUUAAUACAGAGAAAGAGCCGAGAUAGAGAGUCUUGAGAAAUAUAGAGUGAACCGAGAGAACGAGAGAGAUUGAUGAGGGACAGAGAGUGAGUCAAAGAGUCUGCAGAGGAGGGCGGAGGUUUGAGAACUUGGUGAUCUAGUAAGAAAAUUCUUUUUCAAGAUAGGAGUCUCUAAUUCACAAAAUCUUGCAUCUUUGACACGGAUGGCAAGUGGCGGAUGAUGCUCUUCCACAUGGUUCCAUGAGUUCGUAAACCGUUUUGACAUACUUUGUAGCUAUAAUCUCAAUUUAUUAUUAUUUAAUUAUUUAUUUAUUUAUUUUAUUUAUAAA